AUCUUACUGUGACCACCUUGAGGAGUGAGCUAUUGUGAUUAAUACGGUAUUUUCCACUGUUUUGUUCUGUUAUCUCGCAAUAGAUCUAGAGGAACAAAUCAAGUCAAAUAUGGUAUUUUAACCAAAAGCACAUGUUCAAGAAUGUUGGGGACCUCUUUUACAUUCAAAUGAACUCAAUCGUAAAGAAAUGUGUCUAUAUUUUUGACGACGUUUCUGAGUGCGACUGAGAUGAAUCAUGAAUAUAGUCGUGACAACACCUUUCAAAUGGGAAUUUCUGAUAGAGAUCGGUGAAUUAUACCAUAAGUUAACACAUGAGAAAUUGGUCAUGAACUUUAUUGUUUUGGAAAUGGUGAAUUUUAUAUGGACAAGACUCAUAUUUGUUUCUAUCGACCUAAUCAACGCAAACAAAUUAUGUCGCUUGUGGGAUUUGUUAAAGGAACAAAUGAUUCAGGAUGGUAGAAAGAAUAGCAGGUGCGUUGUAGUGAUCUUAUUUAUGUUAAUGGUGGGUGCUUAAACGCAAUGCCUUGUGAGAAUAUAUAUCAUCCCAUCCCUGCUUGUGUAAUAUGUUCUUUAUUAAAGUCAUAGUCAUGAUUAAUUAUCACUCUUCUGAGAAGACCUCAAUGGUGUUUUAUUCCAAAGAAGCAGAUUAAAAUUAAUAAAUUUGAAAGAAAUUGAAAGUUGUAAAAUAAUGGUAUCUCACUUCUGUGCUUUUUAGAUCCUAUAGAGACAGUAUAAAGUGAAGAUGGAAAAAUGCUGCAAACAGUUACUUUCAGUUGCAUGUCGAUAUAUGCAUUAUAUUGCAUUGUGUAAAAACAAUUUAAUUGUAAAGGGUCUCUAGUAUUAUAGGAUCUGUGUGAAAUCUAUCAGCCUAAUCAUAAAAAAAUGUAUUGGUUAUAAAACAUUGUUUGUUGACUGAAUACUGCAACCUGCUGAGAUCAUUUUAGCUUUGUCUUUUCUUCAUGGAGUAAAUCAGGCUUUUAGGUUUCAAGAAAUUGUGACAUUGUUAUAUGUUCUGCCCUCAAUAAUACAGAUCAAUUAAUAAACAGCAUAAUAUGUAUAUUUUAUGAGACUGACUGCUGCCUUGACACACCUACACACAUUACAAUUGCAUUAAAAUACACUACAGUACUGCUUACAAACUUUUACUUUAGUAAUUUUACAGUAACAGUACUUUUACUUUAGUCAUUUUACAGUAAAA
rnacentral:lncRNA from 1 species